rnacentral:rRNA from 1 species
UUGGAGGGCAGUCUGGUGCCAGCAGCCGCGGUAUUCCAGCUCCAUAGCGUAUAUUAAAGUUGUUGCGGUUAAAAAGCUCGUAGUUGAAUUUCGGGAUUAGUACGCUGGUCGUGCCUUCGGUACGUACUGGUGUUACUGAUUUCUACCUUCUGACGAACCAUCAUGUCAUUAAUUUGGUGUGGUGGGGAAUCAGGACUGUUACUUUGAAAAAAUUAGAGUGUUUAAAGCAGGCUAAGGCUUGAAUACAUUAGCAUGGAAUAAUGAAAUAGGACGUUUGAACCUAUUUUGUUGGUUUCUAGGAUCGACGUAAUGAUUAAUAGGGAUAGUUGGGGGCAUUAGUAUUCAAUUGUCAGAGGUGAAAUUCUUGGAUUUAUUGAAGACUAACUACUGCGAAAGCAUUUUCCAAGGAUGUUUUCAUUAAUCAAGAACGAAAGUUAGGGGAUCGAAGACGAUCAGAUACCGUCGUAGUCUUAACCAUAAACUAUGCCGACUAGGGAUCGGAUGAUGUUAUUUUUAAUGACUCAUUCGGCGCCUUACGGGAAAC